CGCAUCUGUGCAUGCAGCAUAUCAAUAAGCGGAGGAAAAGAAACUAACAAGGAUUCCCCUAGUAACGGCGAGUGAAGCGGGAAGAGCUCAAAUUUGAAAUCUUAAAGGGUUUCCCUUUACGAAUUGUAGUUUAAAGAAGUGUUUUCUGUUGAGGUUUUGGUAAAAGUUCUUUGGAAUAGGACAUCAUAGAGGGUGAGAAUCCCGUAUUUGACCUUUACUUUCAACUUUGUGAUACACUUUCAAAGAGUCGGAUUGUUUGGGAAUGCAGUCCAAAAUGGGUGGUAAAUUUCAUCUAAAGCUAAAUAUUGGCGAGAGACCGAUAGCGAACAAGUACCGUGAGGGAAAGAUGAAAAGAACUUUGAAAAGAGAGUUAAACAGUACGUGAAAUUGUCAAAAGGGAAGCGUUUGACACCAGUGUUGUUUUUCUGAAAAUCAAUUAAAGAACUGUUUAUGCUAAGCUGUUUAGACUUUAUCAGCUAACUGUUUAGUUUUGAGCUUUUCUUUAAUGCACUUUUCAGUUAACAAGUCAACAUCAAUUUCUUUUGCUGUAAAAAAGCUUGAGGAAGGUGGCUUGAGAUUCGUCUUAAGUGUUUAUAGCCUCUUGCCUAUGCAGUCGGAGAGAUUGAGGUCUGCAGCGUAGAUCCUUCGGGGCUAAAUGCAUUUGUGCUAAGUUAUAGCAUUUUAUAGACAACUUGUUGACUAUGAUUUGUCUUGUAGCUUACUCGCUUAUGUUAUUUUACCUACGCUUAGGAUGUUGAGUCAUCACACACUCU
rnacentral:rRNA from 1 species